UGCCUGGCCUUAAUGUUAAAAGGCUGGCGAAACCUCGUUAGCGAGAAGAGCAGGCUGCUGGCGAAGUCACGACGUGCUGCAAAUGGCCUCAGCGAGCCUGGGCUCUGGAAUCUGCGCGUCGGAACAAUUGAUCUCUAGUGAAGAAAUGAAAGGAUGAUGGAUGGAUAGAUGUUUGGGCACCAUGGACAUAAAGUCAGAAGAUCUGGGUUCUUGUUUGGAUCAGCACAACCGCCUUGUAAAGCCAUUGCUGCUCUUGGAGAUAAGCUGACCCCUGUAUUGGACAGUGCAGUUGGGCCAUCUCUUCUAGGCCCAGUGACAGUGACAUGCCCACACCAGCCUGUCCACACCUCCUCCUCAGCCAGAAGCCACAGGACAUGGAGGAGUGUUGCAGAUUUCAGUGUGGGUCAUCACAGAACUAAUGCUUCCUGAAGUCCAGGGUUCAUCUGCGUGCCUCAGGGAUGAGCAGAAAGGUAAGAACAAAACUGGCAUCAGCUCCUUGAUGACAAAUGAGACUUGAUUCUGCUGAGUGACUCAGGGUUCCAUCUUGUUAACCAAUAUGUGUAGUAGCCAAUUAUUCAAAUAUUCAUUCAACAAACACUUCUGAACACAUGC